AUGGUAUCCCUCAGGUUGGCAGCUUUCUUUCGGGAAAGAAGUUGUACAACCUUAAGCAUGGUCAGAUAUACAAGGCCCCAGGGAUGCCAGAAAACGAGAAUCACAAAAAAAAAGGUGGUAUGGCAUGCUGUUAUUCUUAUCGGGGCAGGCAAAAGACGAAAGAAAUAUUUUUAUCAUUUUGUAAACUCACUAGGUGUUAAGUUUUGCCUGAGGAUACCUAUAAAUUCACCUCCAAGACCUAAAUCCACAUGGCUUGGAGGAGUCCAAUGUGGAAAGUCUAAACAAUUUCCUGGUGGAUUUGGGAAGGUUCGCGCCAGUGAUGUCAUGCUGGAUACAUUGCAAUUUGUUAGAUAUCCAGACUCCAACACACCGAAACAACCUUGGGUCUCAUUUAAUUACUGUGCUGUCCGUUGA
rnacentral:rRNA from 1 species